UUGAAAAAGCUCCAGUGAGCCACUAGGACAGCGCUAAAGAGCCGCAUGCGGCUCUGGAGCCACGGGUUGCUGACCCCCAGUGUAGUGGAACGUAUUUUCCAUAUGUGUUAAAACCUGUUUCUCAAACUUUGGAUGGGUCAACUUAUUUUUAGUAAGGUCACCGGUAAAAUAUUUUACAUGUAUUGAUCCCCCCCCCCCAUUUUUUGCAUUCUAAAUUACAAUAAUUUUCAACCAUCAACUGUUACAGAAUAGUUUAGAAUGUUUUUAAACAACCUUCCCAAUGAUAAGAGUAUUUUUUUUUCAAAAAUAAAAACAUCGCUUUCGUUAAAAUUCACCGUUCCAAUUUGUCAUGCAGAGCAGUGUUUCACAGCAGGAAUGUCCGACAGAGAGGACACCUCGGGGACCACCUAGGUCACGCUGCAGAAUCUAUGUCUCCCGGUUGGUCUGAGACGGCCUCGGGAUCCCUCGGAAGAGCUAGCCCAAGUGGCUGGGGAAAGAGAAAUCCGAGCUUCUCUGCUUAGGCUGCUUCCCACGCAACCUGAUCCCGGAUAAGCGGAAGAACAUGGAUAGAUGGAAGGAAGGCUAUUAAGUUGAGUCUGCUUCAUAUUCUUCUGUUGCAUAUUGCAAUUCCCCUUUGUCCCAGCAGAGAUCACCACUGUUCAGCAAAUGCAGAAUGCCAAGAAAGACUUCCGAGGUAAGUUUGCUUUCCUGUCAGUAUCUACUGUAUAUAUU